rnacentral:rRNA from 1 species
AUUGAACGCUGGCGGCAGGCCUAACACAUGCAAGUCGAGCGGAUGAGGAGAGCUUGCUCUUCGAUUCAGCGGCGGACGGGUGAGUAAUGCCUAGGAAUCUGCCUGGUAGUGGGGGACAACGUUUCGAAAGGAACGCUAAUACCGCAUACGUCCUACGGGAGAAAGCAGGGGACCUUCGGGCCUUGCGCUAUCAGAUGAGCCUAGGUCGGAUUAGCUAGUUGGUGAGGUAAUGGCUCACCAAGGCGACGAUCCGUAACUGGUCUGAGAGGAUGAUCAGUCACACUGGAACUGAGACACGGUCCAGACGCCUACGGGAGGCAGCAGUGGGGAAUAUUGGACAAUGGGCGAAAGCCUGAUCCAGCCAUGCCGCGUGUGUGAAGAAGGUCUUCGGAUUGUAAAGCACUUUAAGUUGGGAGGAAGGGCAGUAAGUUAAUACCUUGCUGUUUUGACGUUACCGACAGAAUAAGCACCGGCUAACUCUGUGCCAGCCGCCGCCGUAACAC